GAUGAACGCUGGCGGCGUGCCUAAUACAUGCAAGUCGAGCGAACAGAUGAGGAGCUUGCUCCUCUGACGUUAGCGGCGGACGGGUGAGUAACACGUGGAUAACCUACCUAUAAGACUGGGAUAACUUCGGGAAACCGGAGCUAAUACCGGAUAAUAUAUUGAACCGCAUGGUUCAAUAGUGAAAGACGGUUUUGCUGUCACUUAUAGAUGGAUCCUCGCCGCAUUAGCUAGUUGGUAAGGUAACGGCUUACCAAGGCAACGAUGCGUAGCCGACCUGAGAGGGUGAUCGGCCACACUGGAACUGAGACACGGUCCAGACUCCUACGGGAGGCAGCAGUAGGAAAUCUUCCGCAAUGGGCGAAAGCCAGACGGAGCAACGCCGCGUGAGUGAUGAAGGUCUUCGGAUCGUAAAACUCUGUUAUUAUGGAAGAACAAAUGUGUAAGUAACUAUGCACGUCUUGACGGUACCUUAUCAGAAAGCCACGGCUAACUACGUG
rnacentral:rRNA from 1 species